rnacentral:sRNA from 1 species
GGACAUUGGCCUGGCCACAGCGUUCACCAUUGCCCACGAGAUCGGGCACACGUGAGGCCAGGGCACACAAGAGGGGGAGGAGGGGAGGAGCUGGGCGGGUCCCUCAGCGCCCGGCAGAGCCGACACCCCUUUCCCCAGAUUCGGCAUGAACCAUGACGGCGUGGGAAACAGCUGUGGGGCCCGUGGUCAGGACCCAGCCAAGCUCAUGGCUGCCCACAUUACCAUGAAGACCAACCCAUUCGUGUGGUCAUCCUGCAGCCGUGACUACAUCACCAGCUUUCUAGACUCGGGCCUGGGGCUCUGCCUGAACAACCGGCCCCCCAGACAGGACUUUGUGUACCCGACAGUGGCACCGGGCCAAGCCUACGAUGCAGAUGAGCAAUGCCGCUUUCAGCAUGGAGUCAAAUCGCGUCAGUGUAAAUACGGGGUAGAGAGAGCCUUCCUGCUUUCCUUCCUGGGAGGGGAGGGGGCCACUGGGGCUGGGGGAGGGAACUCCACCAGGGCACCCACCUGGGAAGUGAGGGGGUGGGAGAACCAGGAAGGGGGGUGAGGUGAGCCCCCAUGGUGACCUGGGAG